rnacentral:rRNA from 1 species
CCUACGGGUGGCAGCAGUAGGGAAUCUUUCACAAUGGGCGAAAGCCUGAUGGAGCAACGCCGCGUGCAGGAUGAAGGCCUUCGGGUUGUAAACUGCUUUUAUAAGCGAGAAAUAUGAUGGUAACUUAUGAAUAAGGAUCGGCUAACUACGUGCCAGCAGCCGCGGUCAUACGUAGGAUCCGAGCAUUAUCCGGAGUGACUGGGUGUAAAGAGUUGCGUAGGUGGCAUAAUAAGUAGCUAGUGAAAUCUGGUGGCUCAACCAUUCAGACUAUUAGCUAAACUGUUAAGCUCGAGACCGUUAGGGGUAACUGGAAGUUCUAGUGUAGGAGUGAAAUCCGGAGAUAUUAGAAGGAACACCAAUAGCGUAGGCAGGUUGCUGGGACGGUUCUGACACUAAGGCACGAAAGCGUAGGGAGCAAACGGGAUUAGAUACCCCAGUAGUC